rnacentral:lncRNA from 1 species
AUCUCAAAAACAUUACAUCAUAAAGUCCUUAUGAGGUGAGAUAAGCUUUGCUGUUCCUCAAUCACAGCUGAAGAAUAGAAACUCGGAGAAUAUACGUGAAUUUUCUGAAGCCCCAGAACAAAUAACUGGGAGAGGUGGGAUAUUUGCCAGGCUGUGCCUGACAUGAAGGUAAGCAUCCUUUCAAUCAGAUUUCACCCUUCGCAAGGGUGAGCAUCUUUGAUUCCUGAAAGUGAUAAUAAAACUGUCCAAGCGCCAGUGGCACCCCAUUUACCUGCCCCUUCCUGUCUCCCACUAGGGUGCUGCAGAAUCCCAUGUUCCAUUGAUUUCAUCCUGCAGGGCCUCAGAACCCACCCUUCCAGGCUUCUAGUAAGGGUUGCUUCUCAUCUCCUUCAGAUAGAUUUGUUGAGAGCCAAGGUAACAAGUUUACAGAAUGAGCGGUGUCGUUGGUACUGGUGAGUUUGUUGAGAGCAUUUCAACAAAUGAAAUUCGAAGCAUGCAGGUGGGACAAGCAGACCCAUCUGAUUCCGCUCACCAUCUACCCAGCAAGCUGCAUCAUUUCCUUAAAAAGAAUCUGCAACCCCUGGGUGUAGCUCAGAUAAUGAUUGGCCUGAAAUGCUGCUUAUUUGGGAUCAUUGAGAUUUUUUUUUACUGGUUCAUUAAUGACAGGAGUCUUUUAUUCUGCUUUUAUAUUGGCUACCCAUUCUGGGCUGCAGCGUCGUUCAUCACAUCUGGAUCUUUGACCAUCUCAUGUACAAAAAAACAAACAAAAUUUCUGGUGAGUAUCAUUUUCCCUUUUGCUCAUUUCAUGAGUUAAUAAGAACAGUGGACCCUGACUCUCUCCACAAAGCCAAACCAACACAAAAUUUGAAUAUUCC